rnacentral:rRNA from 1 species
GACGGAGGAUACAAGUGUUAUCCGGAAUCACUGGGCGUAAAGCGCUCGCAGGUGGUUCGAUGCGUCGUGCGUGAAAGACCCCGGCUCAACUGGGGAGGGUCGUGCGAUACGGUCGAACUGGAGGCCAGUAGGGGGAUGCGGAAUUCCGGGUGUAGUGGUGGAAUGCGUAGAGAUCCGGAGGAACACCAGCGGCGAAGGCGGCAUCCUGGACUGGUCCUGACACUCAGGAGCGAAAGCGUGGGGAGCGAUCGG